rnacentral:snoRNA from 1 species
AUUUUAUUGUGCUGACACUUUCUGACUAUCUCCUUAAAUCUUUCCCAAACUUCAAAAAUAGUUUCUGUCUCCUUCUGGCAGAAAUUGUGGAUUUCCCUUCUGAACUU